UGUGUUUAUAAUUUGAUUAUAAGAUUGAUCCUGUCUUAAUAUUUUGGCUAUUGAUUUUUAUUAUAUAUAAGUUUUUGCGAGUGUUUCUUUUGUCUUAAUGGUUGAGGAGUUUUUUAUAUUUGUAGUUUUUUAUUUUAAAUAUUGCAUAAUUGCAGAUUUAGUUAUUUCAGUCUAGGGUUGUUUAAAUCUGUGCCAGCAUACGCGGUUAUACAGUUAACUCAAGUUAAUAUUUUUGGUUUGCAUUUGUUUUUGUUUUUGGGAAUUUAUGGUUUUAUUAUAAGGUGGAAUUUUUAAUUUUCUUUUAUUUUCUUGGUUCUAUAUUAUGCGAAAUUUAGAUUUUAAACUAGGAUUAGAUACCCUAUUAUU
rnacentral:rRNA from 1 species